GUAGAGAAUUAUUAAGGGUGUAUGGUGGAUGCCUUGACGCAAAGCGGCGAUGAAGGACGUAGCGUAGCUGCGAUAAGCCUCGGUGAGGUGCCUAGCAACCUUUGACCCGGGGAUUUCCGAAUGGGGAAACCUAUUUGCGUAAAACGCAAAUGGCCUUGUCUAUAAAUGACGAGGCAGCUUACCCGCUGAAGUGAAACAUCUCAGUAAGCGGAGGAGUAGAAAAAAAUCGCGAAACGAUUUUUUGUGUCAGGUGUCGGGUGUCACGUGUCAGGAAUUUAGAGUACAAAAGCGUUUCUUGAUACAUGACACUUGAUACUUGACGCAGGAAUUUUGCUUCGCAAAAUUCCCUUAGUAGCGGCGAGCGAAACGGGAAGAGCCUAAACCAGAUACUUAAUUUAUUAAGUGUUCGGGGUCGUAAGAUAAAAAUAUUCUUAAGUUUCUUGUCCCGUUAGAAAAAAUGCCGUUUUAAAGAAACGGAUUUCUAACGGGAUAAACUUGAAACUUAAGAUAAGAGUUACAAAUUUGCUCCGACGUAAAGUCGGAGCACCGACCCGUAAGGCGUCGGUGUUGGCUAGUCGAAACUGCUGGAAAGCAGCGCCAAAGAAAGUGAAAGCCUUGUAGACAAAAGUCGGCAAACUCUUAAAUUUUUACCCCGACGUAAAAGUCGGGGCUCCGACCUCGUAAGAGCGUCGGAGUUCUUGAGUACCUCGAGGCUAGACAACCUCGAGGGAAGCAAGGAGUACUAUCUCCUAAGGCUAAAUACGCUUUGCGAUCGAUAGUGAACAAGUACCGCGAGGGAAAGGUGAAAAGCAGGCCGGUGAGGCCGUUGAAAUAAAACCUGAAACCAUACACUCACAAGGACCAGGAGCGAUAUCGCUAUCGCUCAACGCUCCUAAUUUAGAAUGCAGAAUUAAGAAUGCAGAAUUAUAAAGCUUCGCUUUAAUUAAGAAUUAAGAAGGCAGAAUUAAGAAUUUAUUGUAAUUUUAAUUCUGAAUUCAUAAUUCUGAAUUAUUAAUUAGCGAGCGAAGCGAGCUUAAAGUUCUUAAUUCUAAAUUUAUAAUUUUGAAUUAGGCACGGUGAGCGGUAGCGAAGCGUGACUGGGUGCCUAUUGAAGAAUGAGCCAACGACUUUAUUUGCGCUGCUCGUUUAAGUCCGAUUAAUCGGACGAAGCAAAGGGAAACCAAGUCUGAAUAAGGCGAAAAAUAAAGCAGCGCGAUUAAGACCCGAAGCCAAGCGAGCUUAUCCUGGUCAGGAUGAAGGUCGAUGAAAAUCGACUGGAGGUCCGCACCGGUGAGCCGUUCAACACUCUCGGAUGAACUGGGAUAAGAAGUGAAAAGCUAAUCGAGCUUGGGAAUAGCUGGUUCUCUCCAAAAUAGUUUUAGGACUAGCGUCGGAUAAUAGAUUUCUGGGGGUAGAGCGCUGGAUGAAUUGUAAAGGGCGAAAGCCCGACAAAUCAAUCAAACUUCGAAUACUAGAAAUUGUUUUCCGGCAGUCAGACUACGGGGGCUAAGCUCCGUGGUCGAAAGGGAAACAGCCCUGACCGUCGUCUAAGGUCCCUAAAUAUUUGCUAAGUGUUAAAGAAAGUUUUCAACCAGAGACAAAUAGGAGGUUGGCUUAGAGGUAGCCAUCCUUUAAAGAGUGUGUAACAACUCACUAUCCGAUGGUUGGGGGCGUCUAAAAUUUAUCGGGGCUAAGCAAAUUACCGAAGACACGGAAUCGCGCGGCGAAGCCGACGCGAUAAUUUAGAAUUACAAAUUAAGAAUUCAGAAUUUUUAGAAUUAUUUAUUUAAUUCUUAAUUCUGCAUUCUAAAUUCUGAAUUAUCACGCGACUUCGUCGCGUGAUUGAUAGGAGAGCAUUUCCAGCGCAGCGAAGGUUGACCCGCGAGGGCAGCUGGAGCGCUGGGAAGAGAGAAUGUUGGCAUGAGUAAUCGCAAAGACGAUGAGAAAUCGUCUCCCCGCAAAUCCAAGGUUUCCUCCGCAACGAAAAUCGACGGAGGGUUAGGCGGCCCUAAGGCAAUGGCGAAAGCCGCAGCUAAAGGACAGUCGGUUAAUAUUCCGACCCGCCCAUUAAUUAUCGAUGGAGUAACAGAGAACAUAAAAUUGAGCGCCUUAAUGGUUUGGCGUUAUUGAUUUCAAGAAAUGUUCCGACCAGUAAAUCUGUUGGGACUGCCUUUAAUGGCGAAUUUCGGAAAUUGAUGAAAGUUUUGAUUUUUAUCAAUUCAAUUCGGUUGAAGAGUCUCUCAAGAAAACCUUCUAAGAGUUAUGUUAAUGGGCCCCGUACUAAAAACCGCCACAGGUGGAUGAGGCGAGUAGCCUCAGGGGAACGGGUAAUUCCUCGUUAAGGAACUCGGCAAAAAAGCAGACGUAAGUUCGCGAUAUGUCUUUCCCUCCCCAGUUUUGGUAAAGUAAUUAUUAUACAGAUGCAUUGCUUCGUGAGAGAAGAUUAAAAAAUCACGGCAGUGGUAAAAUUGAACUUUUCAAGCGGCUAAAAAAUAGCUUGCUUGAUACCAAAACUGGGGAGGGACGCAGCGAAAGAAUCCCUAGCGACUGUUUACCAAAAACACAGCUCCCUGCUAACUCGUAAGAGGAUGUAUAGGGGGUGACGCCUGACCGAUGCGAGAAGGUUAACGGCGGGAGUGUUAUCCGCAAGGGUAACGCCCACUGCCCGAAGCCCUCGUCAAUGUCCGCAGUAACUAUAACUGUGUUAAAGUAGCGCAAUUCCUUUUCAGGUAAGUUCUGAAGCGCACGAAUGGCGUAACGACUGGGGAACUGUCUCAAUGAGGAGCCCGAUGAAAAUGCGAUUCCCGUGAAGACGCGGGGUACUGGCAGUAAGACGAAAAGACCCCGGGAGCUUUACUGCAGCUUGAUAUUGAUUUUAGAACUUUAAUGCGUAGCGUAGUGGGCAGGCUUUGAAGUUUCGCUUUCGGGCGGAAUGGAGCCGACAAUGAAACACCCAUCUUUCGAGUUUUAAAGUCUAAUCUGAACGGCAAAAACGUUCGGAAACAGUGUCUGGUGGGCAGUUUCAAUGGGGCGUUGUCCUCCUAAAAAGUAACGGAGGAGUCUAUUAAGGUCGACUUAGCCCGGAUGGAAAUCGGGCUGGACGUGCAAAGGCACAAGUCGGCUUAACGGCAAGGCUGACAAGCCGCGCCGAUGCGAAAGCAGAGCUUAGCGACCCGACGACACUUUAUAGAAAGGUCGGAGAUACCGGAUAAAAGCUACCCCGGGGAUAACAGGCUGGUGAUGCCCGAGAGUCCAUAUCGACGGCAUCGCUCGGCACCUCGAUGUCGGCUCACCCUAUCCUGGGGCUGAAGAAGGUCCCAAGGGUUUGGCUGUUCGCCAAUUAAAAGGGUACGUGAGCUGGGUUCAAACCGUCGUGAGACAGGUUGGUCUCUAUCUACUGUCAGCGUGGAUACUUGAGGGAAGUCGGCUCUAGUAAAUUAAAUUGCUACUUUCCGAAGUAAUUCGGAUUGAAAAUUCGACUAAUAACGGUGAAAUCUUAAUGACUAUUGUUUUCGGUCCUACAUUUAUGGUACAAUUCACUUGAGGACCAUAAAAUCAUUAAGAUAAUACCGUGGGAAGUCAAUCUAAAAUUAAUUUUGCCUAUAUCGCUGGAUUUCUUGAUGGUGACGGAAGCUUAAUGUUGCAAAUAAAAAAACGCAAAGACGGCAAUAAAUCAAGAAAGCGCUUUAUGGUUACUAUCUGUUUUUAUCAAGAUAGUCGCCACGAAAAACCGCUUCAUUGGAUCCGUGAUAUCCUUAAUAUCGGUUAUAUCUCCAGAAGAAAUGAUGGAAUCACCGAAUUGAGAAUAAACGGCUAUAAACAGAUUCAAAGAAUACUGCAAAAUUUAUUGCCAUUCAUUAAAUUCAAGAAAAUUCAGGCGAAAAUUCUUUUGGAUUCGGCAAAAUUGCUCCAAAAAAGCAAAUUAGCAAAGAAGGAAUUAAAAAGAUUAGUUAAUAAUAUUCUGAAAAUUCAGUCAGAAAAUUAUGUAACUAAAAGGAAGAAAACAGAGAAAGAGUUGCUAAAAAUUUUAGGAUUGACCCCGUAACGACUGGAUUCCGCCAGUGGGCGGAUGAAGAUAAUAUCAUUUUUGAUGUUAUAAUACGUCGACCCCCGACCGCGGUCGUGGUGAAGAUAUAGUCUACACUUCUAGUAAUAGAAGAUUAUGUGACGAGAGGAUCGAGCUGAACGAACCUCUGGCUUACCGGCUUUGGUACCAACUGAAACGCCGGGUAACUAUGUUCGGACGGGAUAAGCGUUGAAAGCAUCUAAACGCGAAGCCCCUCCCAAGAUUAAGUAUCGCUAAAUAAUUUAUUAUUUAGGUGGCCCCCAGAAGACUACUGGGUUGAUAGGCUUUAGGUGUAAGCGCCGCGAGGCGUUUAGCCGAGAAGUACUAAUAAGCCACUAAUUCUCUACCU
rfam:Candidatus Jorgensenbacteria bacterium RIFCSPLOWO2_12_FTLL_42_11 rifcsplowo2_12_scaffold_2739, whole genome shotgun sequence.